UAGCUACUACUCAUGGUGAGAUCAAUGUCGAACUGCUUUUGCCUUUGUAGUUUAAGGAAUAACUCCACUGCUACUUGUGUCGUCUUAGAGAGAGCAGG